rnacentral:rRNA from 1 species
CCUACGGGUGGCAGCAGUGGGGAAUAUUGCUCAAUGGGCGCAACCCUGAACCAGCAAAGCCGCGUGUGGGAUGACGGUUUUCGGGUUGUAAACUCCUUUUGUUAGAGAAGAUAAUGACGUUAUCUAACGAUUAAGCACCGGCUAACUCCGUGCCAGCAGCCGCGGUCAUACGGCGGGUGCAAGCGUUACUCGGAAUCACUGGGGGUAAAGGGCGCGUAGGCGGGAUAGCAAGUCAGAUGUGAAAUCCUAUGGCUUAACCCUAGAACUGCAUUUGAAACUGGUAUUCUAGAGUAUGGGAGAGGUAGGUGGAAUUCUUGGUGUAGCGGUAAAAUGCGUAGAGAUCAAGAGGAACACCGAUUGCGAAGGCGACCUGCUAGAACAUAACUGACGCUGAUGCGCGAAAGCGUGGGGAGCAAACAGGAUUAGAUACCCCUGUAGUC